rnacentral:rRNA from 1 species
AGUGAACGCUGGCGGUAGGCCUAACACAUGCAAGUCGAACGGCAGCACAGUAAGAGCUUGCUCUUACGGGUGGCGGGUGGCGGACGGGUGAGGAAUACAUCGGAAUCUACUUUUUCGUGGGGGAUAACGUAGGGAAACUUACGCUAAUACCGCAUACGACCUACGGGUGAAAGCAGGGGAUCUUCGGACCUUGCGCGAUUGAAUGAGCCGAUGCCGGAUUAGCUAGUUGGCGGGGUAAAGGCCCACCAAGGCGACGAUCCGUAGCUGGUCUGAGAGGAUGAUCAGCCACACUGGAACUGAGACACGGUCCAGACUCCUACGGGAGGCGGCAGUGGGGAAUAUUGGACAAUGGGCGCAAGCCUGAUCCAGCCAUACCGCGUGGGUGAAGAAGGCCUUCGGGUUGUAAAGCCCUUUUGUUGGGAAAGAAAAGCAGCAGGUUAAUACCCCGCUGUUCUGACGGUACCCAAAGAAUAAGCACCGGCUAACUUCGUG